UACGAAGGGGGCUAGCGUUGCUCGGAAUCACUGGGCGUAAAGGGUGCGUAGGCGGGUCUUUAAGUCAGGGGGGAAAUCCUGGAGCUCAACUCCAGAACUGCCUUUGAUACUGAGGAUCUUGAGUACGGGAGAGGUGAGUGGAACUGCGAGUGUAGAGGUGAAAUUCGUAGAUAUUCGCAAGAACACCAGUGGCGAAGGCGGCUCACUGGCCCGUAACUGACGCUGAGGCACGAAAGCGUGGGGAGCGAACAGG
rnacentral:rRNA from 1 species